GGUUCGGAAAGAAAGAUGUGAAAGCCCGCAGCUCAACUGCGGAACUGCCUUUGAUACUGGGUAUCUCGAGUAUGGAAGAGGUGAGUGGAAUUCCGAGUGUAGAGGUGAAAUUCGUAGAUAUUCGGAGGAACACCAGUGGCGAAGGCGGCUCACUGGUCCAUUACUGACGCUGAGGUGCGAAAGCGUGGGGAGCAAACAG
rnacentral:rRNA from 1 species